ACUGCCGGUGUUAAGCCGGAGGAAGGUGGGGAGUGACGUCAAGUCCUCAUGGCCUUUAUGUCUAGGGCUACACACGUGCUACAAUGGGUGGUACAAAGAGCAGCUAACUCGCGAGAGUAUGCAAAUCUACAAAAGCCAUCCUCAGUUCGGAUUGGAGUCUGCAACUCGACUCCAUGAAGUUGGAAUCGCUAGUAAUCGCGGAUCAGCAUGCCGCGGUGAAUACGUUCCCGGGCCUU
rnacentral:rRNA from 1 species